rnacentral:rRNA from 1 species
AUUCCAGCUCCAAUAGCGUAUAUUAAAGUUGUUGCGGUUAAAAAGCUCGUAGUUGGAUUUCUGUCGAAAAUGGGCGGUCCUCACUACGUGGGUGUAUUGUUUCAGUUUCGGCAUCCUCAUGGGGAACGUUGCUGCGCUUGAUUGCGUGGCGCGGUAUCCAUGACUUUUACUUUGAGGAAAUUAGAGUGUUCACGGCAGGCAAUCGCCUUGAAUAUAUUAGCAUGGAAUAAUAAUAUAGGAUCUUGGUUCUAUUUUGUUGGUUUCUAGAGCUAAGAUAAUGAUUAAUAGGGAUAAUUGGGGGUCUUUGUAUCAUGGCGUCAGAGGUGGAAUUCUUGGAUUGCCAUGCGACAAACUACUGCGAAAGCAUUGACCAAGGAUGUUUUCAUCG